ACUAGCAGGGAACUUCAAGUGGAAUCUAGGACACCUGAUUGCCUUGAACAAUUAAGGCAAUUGAAGUUUGGAGCUUAUUCUUGGGGACUAUUCAAAGCCUGAGGAACCAGCAACCCAAGGAAAGUUCAUUCUCUCAAGAAUGGAGAAAACAUAAGGGGCUAUGUCUGUUACAGCAAAGAAUUACAUAGUAUGUUCGUAGCCAACCCGUUGAACCUAAGUAGUGAAGAAUGAAAGUCUUCUUCCUUCACAGGUACCAGGCUCUUGGAGCCUUACAUUCUUCAGCAUUUAGAAGAGUCUCACUCUGGUAACCCAGGCUGAGUGCAGAGGUACAAUCAUGGAUCACUGCAGCCUCAACUUUCUAGGUUAAAUCAAUCCUCCCACCUCAGCCUCCCAAGUAGCUGGGACUACAGGUGUGCGCCAUGACAUCUGGGUAAGUUUUAAUUUAUUUUAAAGACAGAUUCUUGCCAUUUUGCCCAGACUGUUCUCAAACUCCUGGACUCAAGUGAUCUCCCUGCCUUGGCCUUCCAAAAUGUUGGGAUUAUAGGUGUAAGCCAGAACACCCAGCCUAUGCCUUUGUUGAAACUCUGAAAGCAGAAUGGCAGAUAGUAGCUUUAAGUGAAUCAAAAGAAAUGAUUUUUUCUUAUUUUUUAUUUUUGAAGAUCAUAAAGUUUGUAAUUUUUUUUCUUAACCAAAUGUAAUAUUGUUAAAUAGAUGGUGUUUCUGAAUAUAACUUUUAGUAAGUUAUCUUUAAUAUUUCUGUUUCCUUAGCAAGAUGGGAGGUCUUCAAUGACAAAUAAUUUUCUUUUAAUCUUGGUAGGACUUGUCAGUUCUGUUGGCAUAAACAUAGGGUUUUAAAUUGAAAACCAAGGUUGUUUACUGGAUAUAGAUAGAGAUUUACUACAAAAUUCUAUUAUCCAAGACUUCUAAAAGAUUGAUAUAUCUUUAGUUAUUAUUAAUACUCCCAUGUCUCCUUUAUAGUUUUCUUUUUUUAUUGCUUAAUGCUUCACUUUUCUUACUUUUCUCUGGAAAAGCAUUCAGUAUGUAGUAUUAGAAUGCAUAACCUUGUAAGCAUAUUUAUAGCAUCUCAUUUUUUAAUAUUGUGAUGAAUGAUUAAUCAUAAAGGGUUCAUCUUUUUUAUCCUAUGCCAUAUCUAAUGUAUCUAUGAUUUAAUACUUUGGAGGUUUUUGGAGGCUUUAAACUGUCCUUGGUUUGAAGAUCCUUUUACAGGCUUUAAACUGUCCUUGGUUUGAAGGUGUGAUUUCACUGGGGACCUGCCCCAUAUGCCUAGGGAUUUUUCUGUCUCCUGCUACUAUCAAAAUUAGAUAGUUGUAAGUAAUGUUUCAGAAGUUGUUGGUAUAUGGAGUCCCUGAAAUUAGGUGCAAGAUUUAAGAGUUCUGGGAAAGUUCUUAUUUUAAUCAACUCUAUCUCUCUUAAAUGGAUUAAUUUUAAAAAGGCAGGAGAAAGGUUUAUUGAAUGCUCUUGAGAGAAUGACUUGCACUAAUCCUUUGUUUCAUUCAACACCAUUCUCAACCUUUAUUAAAAGUAGAAUAGCCUUAUGGUCUGCUUGUCCUCCAGAUAGGAGUGGCUUGUAUACGAUUGAUGUUUCUUGGGAUCAUGAAUAUAGGGCUUGCUCCCACUCUAGGGCUAAACAUUAGAAGACCAAAUGGCUUGGCUUGUGUGGUCUUAGGUUUCAUCUAAAUAGGAAGAGUGUGCUAACAGCUCUAGUCUCAAUUCACGACCAGGAUCCUACAUUUAGGCUCCUUGCUCCCUUGGUGUUAUGAAUCUGAAAGGUAAUGCAUCUCCCUCAAAGUUAUGUGAGAAGUGAAACCUUUUACUGAAUAAUUUUUUUCUUAAAGAAGAAGGGAUCUAUUAUUGACUUGGCUGUUUUAUCUUACUUAUGCAGUCUAGACUUAGUAAUAUUCUUAACUGACACUUUUUUUUUUGGUGGAGCAGUAUGAAUUUAUCUUUACUUUCCUCUAGUAGUAUCAAAAGCUAACAUCUAAAUGUAAAGAUAUUAAAUAUGACUCAAUUUCUUUUUUUUCCAAGGAAAGAUGUCACAAUAUUAUUUUGGAAAUUCUCUAUAUAGAUUGUGAGAAAAUCUAUAAAAAUGUUUACCACAUAACAAUUCAAUCAAUACUAUUUCUGUGUUCCUCAUGACAAGUGUUCUUAAUUCAUAGUGAAUUUCUCUCAAUUUCAAGGUCUAAGGUAAAGACCAUAUCCUUGGAGAAAAAAACAUGUUAUAGUCAAACUAUCACUAUUAAAACAAUUUGUUGGACCAGCUGAAAAUAUUUAUUAAUUCACCUUUAUAUGUAUAUAUUAAAUCAUUGUAUUUUUGUCUUAAUAAUACUUGAGGUAAAGAUAGUUGAUUUCCUACAUAACCUUAGUUAAGCAACAGAUGGGUUCUAUUAUUAGUGUAUUGUAAUAAUAAGAAAAAACCCACUCAUCACUUUGAAAACUAAAAUUCAAUCCU